UUCGUGGAGGUCCGAACCCACGAGCGUUGAAAAGCUCGGGGAUGACUUGUGGGUAGCGGUGAAAUUCCAAUCGAGCCCGGAGAUAGCUGGUUCUCCCCGAAAUAGCUGUAGGGCUAGCCUCAAGGUGAGAGAUACGGAGGUAGAGCACUGAAUGUCCUAGGGGGUAUUGCACCUACCGAAGACUAUCAAACUCCGAAUGCCGUCAUCUUAUACUUGGGAG
rnacentral:rRNA from 1 species